rnacentral:rRNA from 1 species
AAUUUUGGACAAUGGGGGAAACCCUGAUCUAGCCAUCCCGCGUGUAGGAUGAAGGCCUUCGGGUUGUAAAGUACUUUUGUCAGAGAAGAAAAGGUAUCCCCUAAUACGGGAUACUGCUGACGGUAUCUGCAGAAUAAGCACCUGCUAACUACGUGCCAGCAGCCGCGGUAAUACGUAGGGUGCAAGCGUUAAGCGGAAGUACUGGGCGUAAAGCGUGUGUAGGCGGUUCGGAAUGAAAGAUGUGGAAGACCAGGGCUCAACCUUGCAACUGCAUUUUUAACUGCCGAGCUAGAGUAUGUCAGAGGGGGGUAGAAUUCCACGUGUAGCAGUGAAAUGCGUAGAUACGUGGAGGAAUACCGAUGGCGAAGGCAGCCCCCUGGGAUAAUACCGACGCUCAGACACGAAAGAGUGGGGAGCAAACAGG